AUAAAUUAAUUGGUAUAUUAGUUGCUUUGCAAGUAAUUUGUUGUUGGUUCAAAUCCAGCUUUUUCC
rnacentral:tRNA from 1 species